GGGGAAUCAGGGUUCGAUUCCGGAGAGGGAGCUUGAGAAACGGCUACCACAUCCAAGGAAGGCAGCAGGCGCGCAAAUUACCCAUUCCCGACGCGGGGAGGUAGUGACGAAAAAUAACAAUGCAGGACUCGUUUGAGGCCCUGUAAUUGGAAUGAGUACACUUUAAAAGCUUUAACGAGUAUCCAUUGGAGGGCAAGUCUGGUGCCAGCAGCCGCGGUAAUUCCAGCUCCAAAAGUAUAUAUUUAAGUUGUUGCGGUUAAAAAGCUCGUAGUUGGAUUUUGGGCGCAGGCGGCCGGUCCGUCGCAAGGCGUGUACUGGACGUCCUGGCCUUCCCUCCGGUUCUCCGCCGGUGCUCUUGACUGAGUGUCGGCGGCGGCCGGAACGUUUACUUUGAAAAAAUUAGAGUGUUCAAAGCAGGCUCUCGAGCCUGGAUAAUGGUGCAUGGAAUAAUGGAAUAGGACCUCGGUUCUAUUUUGUUGGUUUUCGGAGCGCGAGGUAAUGAUUAAGAGGGACAGACGGGGGCAUUCGUACUGUGCCGUUAGAGGUGAAAUUCUUGGAUCGGCGCAAGACGAACGACUGCGAAAGCAUUUGCCAAGAAUGUUUUCUUUAAUCAAGAGCGAAAGUCAGAGGUUCGAAGACGAUCAGAUACCGUCCUAGUUCUGACUAUAAACGAUGCCAACUAGCGAUCGGGGGGCGUUACAUUGACGACCCCUCCGGCAGCUUACGGGAAACAAAGUCUUUGGGUUCCGGGGGAAAGUAUGGUUGCAAAGCUGAAACUUAAAGGAAUUGACGG
rfam:Ciona savignyi cont_42627, whole genome shotgun sequence.